UGUCUAAGUACGAGCCGUGUUCGCACGGCGAGACCGCGUACGGCUCAUUAAAUCAGUCGUGGUCCAGAUGGGCCAGUGCUUAUCCUACUUGGAUAACUGUGGUAAUUCCAGAGCUAAUAUAUGCAACUCAUACCCCGAAGGCCGCGCUCUUGCAGUGUGCGCUGGACGGGUGCUUUUAUUAGACCAAACCGCUGAGGGCGCGUUAGCCUCCCGGGGCGCGCGCUUGACUCGCAUGAUGGUGACUCUGGAUAACCUUUGACAAGCGCACGUACCACUCGUAUGAGCGGACGGCGCUGCCACUAUCGAGUGUCUGCCUUAUCAGCUAUCAACCGUUCGUUACGUGCGACCGAUGGCUUUGACGGGUAACGGGGAAUCAGGGUUCGAUUCCGGAGAGGCAGCCUGAGAGACGGCUACCACGUCCAAGGACGGCAGCAGGCGCGCAAAUUACCCAAUCCCAGCUUCUGGGGGAGGUAGUGACGAAAUCUAACGAUGCGGGCGCCCUUUCUAGGGCCCCGCAAUCGGAAUGAGCACUUUCUAAACAACCUGUUGAGAACCUACUGAAGGGCAAGUCUGGUGC
rnacentral:rRNA from 1 species